AUUGAACGCUGGCGGCAGGCUUAACACAUGCAAGUCGAGCGGGGUGAUGGUGCUUGCACUAUCACUUAGCGGCGGACGGGUGAGUAAUGCUUAGGAAUCUGCCUAUUAGUGGGGGACAACAUCUCGAAAGGGAUGCUAAUACCGCAUACGUCCUACGGGAGAAAGCAGGGGAUCACUUGUGACCUUGCGCUAAUAGAUGAGCCUAAGUCGGAUUAGCUAGUUGGUGGGGUAAAGGCCUACCAAGGCGACGAUCUGUAGCGGGUCUGAGAGGAUGAUCCGCCACACUGGGACUGAGACACGGCCCAGCCUCCGGCGGGAGGUAGCAGUGGGGAAUAUUGGACAAUGGGGGGAACCCUGAUCCAGCCAUGCCGCGUGUGUGAAGAAGGCCUUAUGGUUGUAAAGCACUUUAAGCGAGGAGGAGGCUCUUUUGGUUAAUACCCAAGAUGAGUGGACGUUACUCGCAGAAUAAGCACCGGCUAACUCUGUGCCAGCCGCCGCGGUAA
rnacentral:rRNA from 1 species